GCGGCAGCGUGGGGAGCGCUCUGGGCGCUGCUCCUCCGUCCCCGGGCAGCCCUGUCCGCCGCGCCGUCGGGAUGUUCUCAAGGAAGAGCCACGCCGACGUCAGGAAAUCCACGCAGAAGGCGCUGGACCCCAAGCGGGACGUGCUGACCCGCCUGAGGCACCUCCGCGCGCUGCUGGAUAUUGUGGAUGGAAGUGACCUGAAGCAGUUUUUUGACAAUAAUUAUUCUCAAAUUUAUUUUAUAUUCUAUGAAAAUUUCAUAACACUGGAAAACAGCUUGAAACAAAAAGGGAAUAAAUCACAAAGGGAGGAGCUGGACUCCAUCCUGUUUCUUUUUGAAAAAAUAUUGCAGCUGCUACCUGAGAGGAUUUUUUAUCGAUGGCAUUUUCGCAGUAUAGGGUCAAUUCUGAAGAAGCUUUUGCACACUGGAAAUUCUCUCAAGCUCAGGUGUGAAGGAAUCCGCCUUUUCCUGCUGUGGCUGCAAGCCCUGCAGACCAACUGUGGCGAGGAGCAGAUUCUGAUGUUCGCCUGCCUGGUGCCUGGCUUCCCCCCGCUGCCGUCCCCACGUGGGCCCUGCACGCUGGAGAGCCUGGUCAGCCCCCCAGCCGCACCUGACGCCAAGAUUUUUCCAGAAGAAAUAACACCGCUUUUGCCAGCUGUCUCUGGAGAGAAAGUUGCAGAAGACCAGACCUGCUAUUUUCUCCAGCUCCUGUUAAAAUAUAUGGUAAUUCAGGCUGCCAGCUUGGAGUGGAAGAACAAGGAGAACCAAGACACUGGAUUUAAGUUUCUCUUUACUUUGUUCAGAAAAUACUAUCUUCCUCACUUGUUCCCAUCUUUUACAAAACUAACCAACCUCUACAAACCUGUGCUCGACAUCCCUGAUAUUAGGCCAAGGCCAGUGUAUGUCGCUGCAACACGGAACAAUGAGAGUGUCUACUGCACAAAAAUCCCCUACAUGGCAGCUCGAGUGGUUUUUAUCAAGUGGCUCGUUACCUUCUUCCUUGAAAAGAAGUAUUUAACUGCUGUUCAGAAUACAAAAAAUGGAGGAGAAAUGCUCCCUAAAAUUAUUCAGACUGUUGCUGUAAGCCAGGAGAAGAGUGUGGAGCUGGAGAGUGGCACGACGCCGGUGGGUGAGCAGGAGCACGGGCACUCUAACAGCAGCAGCCUGUCGGACAGGAGGCUCAGUAGCUGCAGCCUCUGCAGCGUGGAGGAGCAGCACCGUGGCGUCUACGAGAUGGUGGAGGGCAUCCUUCUCUCCACGCGUGGAUACGUCAAUUUCGUCAACGAGGUGUUCCGCCAGGCUUUUUUGUUGCCGCCUUCUGAUAUAUCUGCAACACGGAAGGUGGUGAAGGUGUACCAGAAGUGGAUACUUCAGGAGAAACCCGUGUUCAUGGAGGAGCCAGACAAGAAGGAGGAGGACAGCCAAGAUGCUGUUGUUCCCUUGGAAGACUCCUCUGUGCAGACAGAUGGUAAACAUCUCUCCUUGGAGCCCUGUGGUCACAAGCGCUCCUCCAGCUGGGGCAGGACCUACUCCUUCACCAGUGCCGUCAGCAGGGGCUGCGUGCUGGAGGAUGAGGACAGGGAUGUGAAGGCUGGCGCUCAGGCUGCGCUGCAGGUAUUCCUGACAAACUCGGCGAAUGUUUUCCUGCUGGAGCCAUGCACUGAGGUCCCUGUGCUGUUGAAGGAGCAAGUGGAUGCUUGCAAAGCUGUUCUCAGCAUCUUCAGGCGCAUGAUAAUGGAGCUGUCCAUGAACAGAAAGACAUGGGAACAGAUGCUGCAGAUACUCCUCAGAAUAACAGAAGCUGUGAUGCAGAAGCCAAAGGAGAACCAGACAAAGGACACAUUUGCUCAGAGCAUGGCAGGGCUGCUGUUUCGAACCCUCAUUGUGGCUUGGAUCAGAGCAAACCUGAGCGUUUACAUUUCCCGGGAGCUGUGGGAUGAGCUGCUCAGUGUCCUGUCUGCCCUGACGGACUGGGAGGAGCUCAUCAAUGAGUGGGCCAACAUCAUGGACUCCCUGACAGCAGUGCUGGCCAGGACCGUGUACGGUGUGGAGAUGACAAACCUGCCCCUGGACAAGCUCAGUGAACAGAAGGAAAAAAAGCAGAGAGGCAAAGGCGGUGUUUUAGAGCCUCAGAAGACAGCUGUAGUAGGAAGAUCUUUUUCAUUAAGCUGGAAAAGUCACCCUGAAGUUGUGGAGCCGAUGAGAUUCAGAAGUGCCACAACCUCUGGGGCCCCAGGUGUGGAGAAGGCAAGAAACAUUGUCCGUCAGAGAGCCACAGCUAAGCGAAGCCAGUCUAUCAACAACUGUGCCCAUCUUUAUGAGGCUUUGCCAGCCACUAAAAGUGUACCUCUUCUGCUUCACACUGUGAGCUCUCUCUUCCCUGGUAUCUCUUACACUUCUUGCUCUCAAAGACUGUCAGAAGUUGAAGAAUCUCAACAGCUGGAAAAUUCAGAAAGGGCAGAAGCUGUAGGCCCAUUUGCAGACCAAGAGCAGCAGCUAACUCGAAGCAGCAGCACUUCAGAUAUUGCAGAUCAAAUUCCAUCUUAUUUUUUUCAAGGUAAAAAGGCUGGAAAUUCAACUUCAGACUCCAAAUCAGUUCAGGAAAAUAAGGGAUGCGCAAAGGAGCAUGAAGCCAAGCAAGCGCUAAUGCAGAGGAGCAGCAGUACAGCUGAGUUGGAUCUGAAAGCAGACUUGCAGCAAUCGCAUGGGUAUCACAGAGAGAGAGAGAAAAGUGAGAGCGUCAGCAGCGACACAUCCCUGGGCUGUGCAGCUGAUGUGGAUAUCACGCUGGUGGCGUGGCAGGCAGUCGAGGAUGACUCUGAGGCUGGGCUGGGCACAGGUGUGGAUCCUGUGGCACCACGAUGGCUCCAGCUCAGCCCUUCGCAGGAGCCCACCAACCUCACAGACAGCAAUGAGUUCCUGGCUGAUGACUGCAGUAUAAUUGCUGGUGGAAGCCUUAUUGGUUGGCAUCCUGAUUCUGCUGCUGUGCUGUGGAGGAGGAUCCUGGGAAUUCUUGGAGAUGUGAACAACAUACGGUCACCUAAAAUCCAUGCAAAAGUUUUUGGCUACCUUUAUGAGCUGUGGUAUAAACUUGCAAAGAUCCGGGACAAUCUCGCUAUCAGUGUGGACAAUCAGUCAACUCCUUCUCCUCCCGUCCUGAUCCCUCCUCUCAGGAUAUUUGCAUCAUGGCUGUUCAAGGCAGCCACGCUGCCCAGUGAGUACAAGGAGGGGAAGCUGCAGGCGUUUCGGCUGCUCUGCGCCAUGAUGAGCCGGCGCCAGGACCUGCUGCCCAACUCUGACUUCCUGGUGCACUUCUACUUCGUCCUGCGCCUGGGGCUGACCAGUGAGGACCAGGACAUCCUGAACAUCGUUAUAAAGCAUUGCCCACCAUGGUUCUUCUUCCUGGGGCUGCCUGGCUUCACAAUGCUGAUCGAGGACUUCCUCGGGGCGGCUGCACGUGUGCUGAGUGCGGACGUGCCAGAGGCUCCCCGCUCUGAAGCUCAAACCAUCGUUGGUGCUCUUGUGUGCUUUCCAAACACCUACCAAGGAAUCCCACGGUUGGGACCCAUCUCAGAAGACAGCGAGAGCAUCACAGGAACUACAGAUGUGAAGUAUUGCCUCAUAAAUAUUUUAUUGAAGAAUGCUACAGAGGAGCCAAGUGAAGCUGCAAGAUGCAUAGCCAUCUGUGGCCUUGGUGUGUGGAUCUGUGAGGAGCUCACGCAGUGCACGAGCCACCCCCAUGUGAAGAAAGCCAUCAAUGUCAUAGGUGUGACACUGAAGUUUUCCAACAAGCUGGUAGCUCAGGUAGCCUGUGAUCUCCUUCAGCUGCUGGUGUCUUAUUGGCAGAAGCUUCAAGAGUACGAAUCCUCCCUGUGCCGCAAAAUUACUGAAAUCCUGGUGGCCACCAUCGCUUUUCUCCUGCCCGGUGCCGAAUACUCCUCUGUGGAAGCAGAUAAGAAGUUCAUAGUUUCACUGCUGCUUUGCUUGCUGGACUGGUGCAUGGCACUGCCCAUGAAAAUGCUGCUGGAGCCUGUGUCUGCUGGUGCUGUGGAGGAUCAACAUGAAUCCAGAGCUCCUUUGUUGGAUUAUAUUUACAGAGUCCUGCACUGCUGCGUCAACGGCUCCAGCACCUACAUGCAGCAAAGCCACUAUGUGCUGAGCCUGGCAGACCUCUCCUCCUCUGACUAUGACCCCUUCCUGCCACUGGGGAAUGUCAGGAGCUCCUCGGAGUCAGCCCAGGGCCCCUCCUCCACCGAUCUGGGCAGCCUGCUCACAGUGGCUGAAGAGAAGAGGAGGAGGAAUUUGGAACUGAUCCCUCUCACAGCACGGAUGGUCAUGACUCACCUGGUGAAUCACCUGAGCCACUACCCGCUCAGCGAGGGUCCUGCCAUCCUCCAUAGCCUCCUGAGUGAGAACCAUGACAAUUCUUAUGUGGAGUCCUCCGAGCUGUGCUCGGAAGUGUUCCGCAGCCCCAACCUGCAGCUGUUCGUGUUUAAUGACAGCACUCUCAUCUCUUACCUCCAAAUACCUGCCAAGAAGAAGGCAGAUGCCGAGCCGGCAGCGGCACCCUCGGACGUGCGGGUGAUUGUCAGGGAUAUAUCAGGGAAGUACUCCUGGGAUGGCCAGAUCUUGUAUGGGCCUCUGGAGGGCUGCCUGCCGCGCUGCAGCACAGCUGACGCCUUCGCCACCUCCAGCAACCCCCAGCAGCCCGUCUUUUCCCAGAAUGAUGUCUCCCAGACAGAGGAGGGAGAGGAUGCCCUGGACCAGCUGCUGGAGAGGAUUGGGAGCAGCAGCCCCGAGUGCCUCCUGCACCCGCAGCGCAAGCUGAAUGAGCCGGCGCCGCCACCCUGUGGGAUGAGUGCUGAGCAGGAGCGCACCAUCACCGAGGCCCUGCUGCGGCAAAGCGCCCAGGAAAGGGAGUUCCUGCUGAAAUGCAGCUCGGACUGCAGCAUGAGGGUGACCCGCCAGCAGCCACCACCUCCUGCUGAACCCCAAGCCUCUUUUUAUUUCUGUCGGCUGCUGCUGAAUGACUUGGGAAUGAACUCCUGGGAUAGAAGAAAAAGCUUUCAUCUGCUGAAGAAAAACUCAAAGUUGUUGCGAGAACUGAAAAAUCUGGAUUCCCGCCAAUGUCGUGAGACUCACAAGAUCGCCGUGUUCUACAUCGCCGAGGGACAGGAGGACAAGUGUUCCAUCCUGGCCAAUACUAGGGGAAGCCAGGCCUAUGAAGACUUUGUUGCUGGGCUGGGCUGGGAGGUCAACCUGUCCACACAUGGGGGGUUCAUGGGUGGCCUGCAGCGCAAUGGCAGCACGGGGCAGACCGCGCCCUACUACGCCACCUCCACCAUGGAGAUCAUCUUCCAUGUGUCCACCAGGAUGCCCUCCGACUCAGAUGACUCACUGACCAAGAAGCUCCGUCACUUGGGAAAUGAUGAGGUUCACAUCGUGUGGUCUGAGCACACACGCAACUACCGCAGGGGCAUCAUCCCCACUGACUUCGGGGAUGUCCUCAUCGUCAUCUACCCCAUGAAGAAUCACAUGUUCUUCAUUGAGAUCAUGAAGAAACCUGAGGUGCCAUUUUUCGGUCCCCUCUUCAACGGUGCUAUCGUGACUGCGAAGCUAUUGCCAAGCCUGGUCUGUGCCACGUGUAUCAACGCAAGCAGAGCUGUGAAGUCCCUCAUCCCACUCUACCAGAGCUUGUAUCCUUUCUCCAUGGGGCAGGGCUCCCCUUGGUAGGGUUCUCACUUGGAGCAUCGUCCUGCAGAGAGAUUAGAGUGUUAAUGCUCUCAGUACAGUAACGGCCACAGGUUGCCUCACCACAAGUGCAAGUGCUGACCUCACUGACGCCACUGGCAUCGAGCUGGUGGAGCCACGUGCCCUUGCUCACACUGCCAUGUGCCUCCAGAAGCAGGGUGUCUGGGAAGCUCCACCACUCUGCCAAAUGUCCACCUGAGGCCUUGGAGCACAGAGCUGUGGCCAGGGCAGCCCAUGGCACCUGAACACAGAUCAGAAUGGGCAGUUCUGGGUGAACACAUCUUGAAGGGGCCGGGCAAGGGGUUUGCUCUGUGAAACGGCCUUUCCCCAGCCUGGACAAAUAUGGCUGGGGAUCAGUCAUCACCUGUGUCACCAUCACCACUGCACUGGCACCAGGUGAGCAAGGGCCCCAAGCCCCUGGGCACAGAUGCUGCAGCCACAGGUCGUGAACCAGCACUGACCACCAGUUUAUUUACUGUACCCUUAGAG